rnacentral:rRNA from 1 species
GACGAACGCUGGCGGCGUGCUUAACACAUGCAAGUCGAACGAAGAGCGAUGGAAGCUUGCUUCUAUCAAUCUUAGUGGCGAACGGGUGAGUAACGCGUAAUCAACCUGCCCUUCAGAGGGGGACAACAGUUGGAAACGACUGCUAAUACCGCAUACGAUCUAAUCUCGGCAUCGAGGAUAGAUGAAAGGUGGCCUCUAUUUAUAAGCUAUCACUGAAGGAGGGGAUUGCGUCUGAUUAGCUAGUUGGAGGGGUAACGGCCCACCAAGGCGAUGAUCAGUAGCCGGUCUGAGAGGAUGAACGGCCACAUUGGGACUGAGACACGGCCCAGACUCCUACGGGAGGCAGCAGUGGGGAAUCUUCCGCAAUGGACGAAAGUCUGACGGAGCAACGCCGCGUGAGUGAUGACGGCCUUCGGGUUGUAAAGCUCUGUUAAUCGGGACGAAAGGCCUUCUUGCGAAUAGUUAGAAGG